GAUCCUGGCUCAGGAUGAACGCUAGCUACAGGCUUAACACAUGCAAGUCGAGGGGAAACGACAUCGAAAGCUUGCUUUUGAUGGGCGUCGACCGGCGCACGGGUGAGUAACGCGUAUCCAACCUGCCCAUCACUUGGGAAUAACCUUGCGAAAGUAAGACUAAUGCCCAAUGAUAUCCCACGAAGGCAUCCGAAUGGGAUUAAAGUAUUUAUCGGUGAUGGAGUGGGGAUGCGU
rnacentral:rRNA from 1 species